rnacentral:hammerhead_ribozyme from 1 species
AUCCAGCCGACAAGUCCAAAAAUAGGACGAAAAACGUGUCCUAGAU